GCUAAAUUUGACUCGACACGGGGAAACUUACCAGGUCCAGACAUAGCAAGGAUUGACAGACUGAGAGCUCUUUCUUGAUUCUAAGGGUGGUGGUGCAUGGCUGUUCUUAGUUGGUGGAGCGAAGUGUCUUGUUAAUUCCGUUAACGAACGAGACCUCAGCCUACUAACUAGCUAUGCGGAGCCAUCCCUCCGCAGCUAGCUUCUUAGAGGGACUAUCGCCGUUUAGGCGACGGAAGUUUGAGCCAAUAACAGGUUUGUGAUGCCCUUAGAUGUUCUAGGCCAC
rnacentral:rRNA from 2 species